AUCGCUUCUCGGCCUUUUGGCUAAGAUCAAGUGUAGUAUCUGUUCUUAUCAGUUUAGUAUCUGAUCGCCCCGAUUGGGGGCAACGAUUAAACGCAUUUUAGAACAGGGAGCUGAAUAAGGGGCUCGCUCCGUUCGCUUCCACGCAUCGACGACCCGGUAUUGCAGCGCCUCUGGGAACGGUGCCCCCUUU